UCUGGUAUGAAAGGUUUGACGAGAUAUUAACUGUUUCAUAAAAAUUUAUAAUAGAAUUUUAUUUUUUAGUUAAAAAGCUAAAAUAUAUUUAAAAGACGAGAAGACCCUAUAAAUCUUUAUAUUUAGGUUAUUAUAAUUUUAUAGAUUUUUUUUGUUAUAAUAAUUGAUAAUAUUUUAUUGGGGUGAUAUUAAAAUUUGAUAAACUUUUAAUUGUUUAAAUCAUUAAUUUAUGAAUAAUUGAUCCGUUAUUAGCGAUUAAAAAAAUAAGUUACCUUAGGGAUAACAGCG
rnacentral:rRNA from 1 species